UAGAUGACUGGCUACAAAAGAUGAGCAAUUGGAAUAUCUAAGCAGAGAAGUUCACCUUCCGCUAAGCAAUCUUAUAUUCUUGGCUUGAAAAUGCAGCAGUAAGAAGGGCACACACCAAAGAGCAGAACAUGUUGGACUGUCUUUUGAUGCUGGAGAAAACCUAGUGCCUGCUGAUGGGUAUUGGUGUGGGAAGAUGAAGACAGGACAUCUGCAGGUGACUGAGAUAGUGUUCCAGUGGUGUCAUUAAUUUGUGAAACUGGCUCUCUCUCCACAUUCCUCAAGUAAGUGAUUUUUUUAAAUCCUUCUGAGUCUUGAUUUUGAGUCACUAAGAAAAUUUCAGGGCAAAAGUACCUGCCGCAAUUGCUGUUUUCGUGGAAGUGAAAAUAUCUCAAAUACUUAAAAUGGCAGAAAGAACACGAAAAUGCAUUUUAAAGUGUUACGAGGUAUGUUCUCGUUGACUGUGGCUGUAACCUUAAAGCCACGGAGAUCACGAAAAUGAAAUCCACAAAAAACACAUCAUGAGC
rnacentral:lncRNA from 1 species